rnacentral:misc_RNA from 1 species
GAUGAAGAACGUAGCGAAAUGCGAUAAGUAAUGUGAAUUGCAGAAUUCAGUGAAUCAUCGAAUCUUUGAACGCACAUUGCGCCCCCUGGUAUUCCGGGGGGCAUGCCUGUUCGAGCGUCAUUUCACCACUCAAGCCUCGCUUGGUAUUGGGCAACGCGGUCCGCCGCGUGCCUCAAAUCGUCCGGCUGGGUCUUCUGUCCCCUAAGCGUUGUGGAAACUAUUCGCUAAAGGGUGUUCGGGAGGCUACGCCGUAAAACAACCCCAUUUCUAAGGUUGACCUCGGAUCAGGUAGGGAUACCCGCUGAACUUAAGCAUAUAAUAAGCGGAGGA